rnacentral:rRNA from 1 species
GGACUACAGGGGUAUCUAAUCCUGUUUGCUACCCACGCUCUCGCGCCUCAGCGUCAGUGACAGUCCAGGUGGCCGCCUUCGCCACUGGUGUUCCUUCCGAUCUCUACGCAUUUCACCGCUACACCGGAAAUUCCGCCACCCUCUACUGCACUCCAGUCUCAUAGUCUAAGAUGCCGUUCCUAGGUUAAGCCCAGGCCUUUCACAUCUCACUUAUCAAACCGCCUACGCGCCCUUUACGCCCAGUUACUCCGAUUAACGCUCGCACCCUCUGUAUUACCGCGGCUGCUGGCAC